GAUGAACGCUGACAGAAUGCUUAACACAUGCCAGUCAACUUGAAUUUGGGUUUUUAACUUAGGUUUGGGUGGCGGACGGGUGAGUAACGCGUAAAGAACUUGCCUCACAGCUAGGGACAACAUUUGGAAACGAAUGCUAAUACCUAAUAUUAUGAUAAUAGGGCAUCCUAUAAUUAUGAAAGCUAUAAGCGCUGUGAGAGGGCUUUGCGUCCCAUUAGCUAGUUGGAGAGGUAACGGCUCACCAAGGCGAUGAUGGGUAGCCGGCCUGAGAGGGUGAUCGGCCACAAGGGGACGGAGACACGGCCCUUACUCCUACGGGAGGCAGAAGGGGGGAAUAUUGGACAAUGGACCGAGAGUCUGAUCCAGCAAUUCUGUGUGCACGAUGAAGUUUUUCGGAAUGUAAAGUGCUUUCAGUUGGGAAGAAGCAAAUGACGGUACCAACAGAAGAAGUGACGGCUAAAUACGUG
rnacentral:rRNA from 1 species